rnacentral:sRNA from 1 species
GUUUCAGACCCCACCACCUGCCCCGUCCCCGGACACGGCACCAACCCCAUCGCCAGCGGCUCGCCCGACGU